CUGCCAGACUCCUACGGGAGGCAGCAGUGGGGAAUAUUGCACAAUGGGGGAAACCCUGAUGCAGCGACGCCGCGUGAGUGAAGAAGUAUUUCGGUAUGUAAAGCUCUAUCAGCAGGAACGAGACAAGACGGUACCUGACUAAGAAGCCCCGGCUAACUACGUGCCAGCAGCCGCGGUAAUACGUAGGGGGCAAGCGUUAUCCGGAAUCACUGGGUGUAAAGGGAGCGUAGACGGCUGUGCAAGCCUGAAGUGAAAGGCGGGGGCCCAACCCCUGGACUGCAUUGGAAACUGUCCGGCUAGAGUGCAGGAGAGGUAAGUGGAAUUCCUAGUGUAGCGGUGAAAUGCGUAGAUAUUAGGAGGAACACCAGUGGCGAAGGCGGCUUACUGGACUGUAACUGACGUUGAGGCUCGAAAGCGUGGGGAGCAAACAGGAUUAGAUACCCGUGUA
rnacentral:rRNA from 1 species